UUUUUUUUUCCACAUAUAUUUUCCCAUAUAAGUGCUGAUAACAUUGACUGCAGCAGAAGCAGAGCUGUAGCAUUAUCUAACAAGAGGGGUUAUGGCAUUUUUCAUCAAACAAUAAGCUUGAACUUAGUUCGGGAGAAUUUACUGUUAAAAUGCCUCAGCAACUUUAGGAUCAGAAGGUGCAAAAAGUAAAUGUUUUCAUUUUCUGCCCUUUCCCAUACCCUCUUGGGAAUCUUUCAUAUAAGGCUGUUUUCAAACUAAUUUGUGUCACUCAGUAUGCAGUAGACGCUGGCAGUUUGUCCUUCCUCUCUCUGCCCCUUACUCUCCUCUGUAGGGUGAACAUGGCCUUCAUUUUGUUGAUUCUCCAUGGACAUCUGGAGGCAUUAGGACUGCAGAUGUUGUGUACUGGUCUCACAGCAGGCCUAUGCUUACCAUCAGAGCAAACCACUGCAGCAGCUCUUCUGUUGUGGAUAUGGCAAGCGUGGUAGACCACUGGGACAGGUAGGUUUGCCACAACCUUCUUGUUUGCCUGGUAUUUCUCCUUUUUUCUAUUAUGGGCAAGAGUAGAGGCAAAAGAACCAAGCUACCCUACUUGUAACCAAAGGGAGGGAUUUCAAAUAGAAAUCAACAUUCAAAGUGUUUUUCUUUUCAGGAUCAGGUACGUAUUUGCUGGUGCACUUGUGUGUGGCUGACUGACCUGCCAGUCCUACUGCUCACACAACCCAAGUCAAAGAGAGCUUGCCUGGUGCUGUUAAUGCAGAAAGCUGCUUUGAUCCCUGCUGCUUUGGCAGUAUCUGCAGCCUGAUAAUUUCCAGUUUCCUUUUCCUGGCUAAACUGUAUUCCUGAUAACCGUGCUACUCAUGCUAUUUGGUGCUUUUUAAAAUUAUCCUUACUAACUAAAUUGUAGGUAAUCAAGGAGAAUCCUAACUAUCCUCUUAAUGUUAGUGAGCAGGGAAAUGUUCUGGUAUCUUCAGCAUCUUGGAUGACUCAUUCAGGAAAUCUGUGAAAGUCCUGUGUGCUACACACAAUGAAAACACUCAAGUUUUUUUACAGUCUCUGCCAAAGAAGGAACAGUCAGGAUACUGGUUUUCACCUGGAAACUUCAUCCCUGACUUGCUUUUCCCUAUCGCACCUCAGAAUAUGCCCUUUGCCAAAGGGUACUGCAGUGGUAAGGGGAGCCACCUGUAUUGAGCACAGCAACCUCCAGUCAGUGCUAUUCCCGGGAGGCAUUAUGGCUGCCCUGCGUGCCAAGGGCUUCAGACUGAUGGCAGAAAGGGGCGCGGUAAAUGGUACCAACUACUCGGUGGUGACCAACAACAGUUUCUUGCCCCAGGGUGCUCCGAUUCAGCCUCCUUAAUAAUCGGACAUUUUAAGGCAGCUGAAACAAAGGCCUGUAUGAUUUGUAUGAGCUCUUUGAAGAAUCUCUCUUGGAGAUUUUUUUUUUUUCUUUUUCUACCAGUUUCAUGCCAGAGAACUCCACUGGCACAGGAGCAUUGUAUCCGAUUUAAAGCAGUGUUAACAGGCAGAGAAAGAUGACUGUUGCACAUGGCCUUAGUUCUGUGUUUCUUUAGUCCACUGUAAGUAAAUUAAAGGAAGAAAAGUAGUAAAGCUUCUUGCCCUUGUCACAAAUGCAAUAAAAAUCAUUAUUAUUAUAAAGCUAACCCAGAAUGCUCCUACACAGUUCUUGAUCAGUGUUCUUUUUACCUACAAGAUUCAAAUCCAGUUCCUUCUCAAAAGAGAGUAGGAAAAAAAUUGAAGCACAUGGAGA
rnacentral:lncRNA from 1 species